CUCUGUGAAAGCAGAGUGGGCUGAGACUAUAAUGAGAGCGGUAUGAAGGGAUGAUGUUUUUUGAAGACUGGCCGAGCCAGUCAGGGAUAAACAGUGGGGAGUUUCCUUCAGAUUCUACGAUCUGCUCUUCUGGUUUGUCUCUGUUCGGCAGUUUGUUCUGCUUUGAUCCUGGAGAAGCUAAAAGAGGCUAUAAAAAGCCUAAUAACCUCGCUGGACCCCACAACUAUCCUCCUGGCAUGGAUCGCUGGACAUUUCAGAAGAGCAAGGAAUAUUAGGACUGGAGAAUUACAGUCCUUCUUUGGAGUUUGUGAGGCUUAUGGAUUCCACCUCACGCCAGACUGCACUUUAUUUUGCAAGAAUUUGAUGCGGUCUGUUUGCCCCAUCCUUGUUUCAUGUGGCAGCAACCCUUUACACUUCCUUCCCCACAUACUGUAAAGCAAAUUACUUAAUUUAGUGAUAUGAGAAACAUCAGACAGAGACAAAAGCCAAAUGGAGGACGUCAUAGGAAAUGGGUUUUAAUAAAACAUCCUUCAAAGGCAUUUUGACAUGAUUACACAUGACUAAUGAUUUCAUAAAAUGACUUAAUUAAGUUCACUCUCCUUGGGUGGCAAGUAAAUGCAUAAAUAAAGUGUUGCAUGGGCCUACUAAAUUGUAAAAUCUAAAACAGACAACAUGGAAGUGAUUCAAAUUGCAUGUAUACUGCUACACCACUUUUCCUGACUUGUACCAUGGUAAUACAUUGGAUUUCUUAAAGUAC